rnacentral:rRNA from 1 species
UACUGAAUCAUUAUGAGUCAUUAAUUUGGUGAUUUUGAUAACCUAAGGGAAAAAAAAUGAUAUUACCUUAUUAUUAGUGUUGUCCAAAACUGGUCGCCAGAAGACUCGGUAAGACCAGAGACGCAAACGUUAGUACAUCUUAAUCAGGCGUAAAGGGUGUGUAGGCUGCUUUAAAAGUUUAAAUCUUUUUAAUAGCUCUUUUGCCGUUGUCCUGCCAUUAUUUAUUUUAUUUAUAAAAUAAUAAACAAUAAUGAAUAUAAAGGCAGUACAUUUUUAAUUUUAUUAAUAUUAAUUUAAUUUAAUAAUUAUAAAGGGGACAAAAAAGAUAUCCCGGUUUAAGUAAAAAGAAUAAAAUGAAUUAAAGCUAGAAUCAAAUUGAGGAUAAACCAAAUAAUACUUAGAGUAGGGCCGAUAUCCGCAGAUACUAAGGGGAAUACUAAAGGUGAAAGCUUUUUAUCUACUAUUGAUUGACGCUGAGAAACGAAGGUGAGAACAGGAAAUAGGAUUUGAUACCCAGAUACCUCUCACUGUCAACGAUGAAUGGUGGUUGUUAGUUUUAAUAAAAACUGGUAACGAUGUUAACACGAUAACCAUUCCGCCUUGCGAGUACGGUUGCAAAACUGAAACCAAAAAAAUUAGUCGGUUCG